rnacentral:tRNA from 4 species
GGAUUGGUAGCUCAGUUGGUAGAGCAACUGACUCUUAAUCAGUGGGUCCAGGGUUCGAGCCCCUGCCAGUCCA